rnacentral:misc_RNA from 1 species
GGUGACUUCAAAUUGUUAUAUAUGUGUUCAUAAUAGAUUUCCUUGAUUCGAUCUUAAUGUGGAAGUUGGGUUUUGUCGUUUUGUGUUUAGUGUUGUCGCUUCUUUCUUCCUUUGUUUGAAUCCAUUUUCAGUUCUUCCUCUUCUUGUAUGCUUGAUUGAAUGUCGUAGAAUCUCGGUUCUUCUGUUUUCAUUGUCUUUAACCCCGAUUUUACAUCUUGUUUUGCUACUGUUUAUGUUGUCUUCUUUCCACCAUAAGAAUACAAUUUCCAAGCUAAUUAGUAUGGAAGUUGUAUGUUACACUAUUGAUUAUUUGUUUGAUUCAGCAACUUAUUUUAUCUAUU